GGGGAUUUAGCUCAGCGGUAGAGCACUUGCCUAGCAAGCACAAGGCCCUGGGUUCGAUCCCCAGCUCCG
rfam:Rattus norvegicus chromosome 2, whole genome shotgun sequence.